ACUCCUACGGGAGGCAGCAGUGGGGAAUAUUGGGCAAUGGGGGCAACCCUGACCCAGCAACGCCGUGUGGGGGAAGAAGGUUUUCGGAUCGUAAACCUCUGUCAGGAGGGAAGAAGUGCCUGCCAAGUAAUAUGUGGCAUGUUUGACGGUACCUCCAAAGGAAGCACCGGCUAACUCCGUGCCAGCAGCCGCGGUAAUACGGAGGGUGCGAGCGUUAUUCGGAAUUACUGGGCGUAAAGCGCGCGUAGGCGGCGCGGCAAGUCAGAUGUGAAAGCCCCGGGCUCAACCUGGGAAUUGCAUUUGAAACUGCCGUGCUUGAGUAAGGUAGAGGGUGGCGGAAUUCCCGGUGUAGGAGUGAAAUCCGUAGAUAUCGGGAGGAACACCAGUGGCGAAGGCGGCCACCUGGGCCUUUACUGACGCUGAGGUGCGAAAGCGUGGGUAGCAAACAGGAUUAGAAACCCCAGUAGUCC
rnacentral:rRNA from 1 species